CAAUGAAGGAAACAUGAUAAUGUGCACAUAAAUUGAAUUGGCUCUUUAGGCCUGUCAUCUCUGAUGCCAUUUGGCUUUGAUCUGGAUGUAUGGUUCCGCAACAAAACA